AUUGAACGCUGGCGGCAUGCCUUACACAUGCAAGUCGAACGGCAGCACGGGAGCAAUCCUGGUGGCGAGUGGCGAACGGGUGAGUAAUACAUCGGAACGUGCCCAGUAGUGGGGGAUAGCCCGGCGAAAGCCGGAUUAAUACCGCAUGAGACCUGAGGGUGAAAGCGGGGGAUCGCAAGACCUCGCGCUAUUGGAGCGGCCGAUGUCAGAUUAGCUAGUUGGUGGGGUAAAGGCCUACCAAGGCAACGAUGUGGAGUUGGUCUGAGAGGACGACAAGCCACAUUGGGACUGGGACACGGCCCAGACUCCUCCGGGAGGCAGCAGUGGGGAAUUUUGGACAAUGGGCGCAAGCCUUAUCCAGCAAUGCCGCGUGCAGGAAGAAGGCCUUCGGGUUGUAAACUGCUUUUGUCAGGGAAGAAAUCCUCUGGGUUAAUACCUCGGGGGGAUAACGGUACCUGAAGAAUAAGCACCGGCUAACUACGUGCCAGCCGCCGCCGUAA
rnacentral:rRNA from 1 species